GCUAAUCCCAUUCAUGAGGGCUCCACUCUUAUGACCAAAUCACCUCCUAAGGCUCCACCUCCAAAUAUUAUUACAACUUGGGUGAGAAUUUCAACAUACGAAUUUAGGGAGGUCAUAAACAUUUAGCCCUCACACAAACCUCCCAAGAGGCUGACACGGUCAUGUGACACCAUUGCGGCCAAUAAGAUACUGUAUUAGGGAAGUAGGGUCAAAGGGACAGAGGCUGGUGACACUGUCCCUUCCCUCCCUUUCCUUCUGUGUGGAGUUUUGGCAGCUGAUUUUGAACAUACGGGAAAAGACACAGAAAUACACAAGAGACACAGAAAUGCUGGACCUGAUGCUGCUAGCCGUAAGUCAUGGAAGAUUUGAGAAUAUUCAUCAUUCAAAACAGCAACAUCCAGUACCAGCUGAGCGGCCUCGGAGCAUCCUUGUUCAGUGGUGUCUUCGGCAGCAGAAUGGUGAGAGUAACAAACUCUUCAGAACACUUACUGUGAUGAGUAAAAACACCACCGCCAAUAAGGACUAAUACAUAGUGAGUGUGUGCUGCAUGUCAGGUACUGUGCUAAAUGGUUAAUGGUCAUUACCUAAUUAUUCCUUGUUGUGGCUUGUGUGUAAAUUCCCCCAAAGCCUCAUGUAGUCGUAGGAGGGGCUUUUUCAGAGGAGGCUGGAUCUAGCGUGUGUGACACUGGGAUUGAUUCAUGGUGCAGUGCUAGGCUCAAGGGCACUAGGAUUAAGUGUGUGAGUCUUGCCAGCCUUCCGCAGUAUUAUGAGCCAGUCCUUAAAAUAAAUCACUAUCUCUCUUGGGAUAUCCUCUGUCUCUUAAAACACACACAUUUAUGUACACACAUACAUAUACACACGGUAUCCUACUGAUCCUGUUUCUUGGGAGAAUCCCAACUAAUGCAGUUAUAUCGAAUCAAUCCUGAUUAUCCAUGAUAAUCUCAUUUAAAAUCAGCUGACUAACAACAUCAAUUCCACCUGCUACAUUUAUUCUCUGAUGCCCCAUAAUCUAACAUAUCCACAGGUUCCAGGGGCUAAGAUUAUGAUCAUCUUCCUGUGCCCAUCGUGACAACUUAAAUAGAGGCUUAUUUUUCUCCCAUAAUUAGAACCCUGAAGGUGGGAUUUGAGAUUUGGGAGCAGUGCCCAUGACUGAGGUCCUCUACUUGCUGUACUAUAUUGGCGAUCCUGUAAUCUCAUGCUCACAAGAUGUUUGCCUCAGCUCCCGAC
rnacentral:lncRNA from 1 species